GUCUUUACACUCAGAUAACUAACACUGUCUUUUUUCAGACUGAGAGAGAAACCUGAUUGCUGCUUUGGCUGACUACCUGAACUCUGACCCCUGCUCCUGCUCUGACUGACCCAGAGAGAACUCAGACGCAGAGAGAACCGGACCAGAACUCCUGCUUGGCUGAUGAUCAGAUUUUUAGUCACUGAGGUUCAGUCCAUCACAUCACUGAGUAUAGGAGUGUUUCACAUUUUAAUCACAGAGUUUUUGUGGUUUAUCACAACUGCUGAGUUCACACAUGAAUAUAAAUGUAGUGAAAACAGACCUGUAAACACUGACUGAAGUUAGAGCCAUGUGAGCUGAGCUGUUCUGCCUGUAUAGUGGAUCAGAACAGGUCCCAGCAGCAGAGUCUGACAGUAGAAAGCUGACAGUUGAAAGCUGACAGUUUUAAUGGAACAUCACUAAAGGCAGAAAUCAGUGUGUAAAGUGAGCAGAACAUGUUGUGCAGUGAUCAGUUCUGUAUUGUUCUGCUUCAUGUUGAACAAGUCAGUGGGUCUUGAGAUUAUUUUAAUCAAGUCCACAUUUCAUAGUACCAGCUGUUUUCACACACAUCUGGAAACUACUGGCCUAAAAAGUGAUUUAUUUAACUUUUUCAAUAUUCUGUUUAUUUGAAGCCAUUAAAUGUUGAACUGUUUACACAGCUUAUGUAACAGAAUGCUAGAUUAGAUUUCUGCUAUCAACAAUGUCUAAUUAUUGUUUUCUCUGUGUCUUCCUGUUCAACGUGUCUCCUCUCAUUGUCCCUAUCAUUAUUGGACAUUCUGUCUUUCCUGUCCCACCUACCCCCUCUAUCUUAUAUUUGGACAUUCUAUCUUGUAUCCAUCUAUCCCCCUCUAUCUUAUAUUUGGACAUUCUAUCUUGUAUCCAUCUACCCCCCUCCAUCUAAUAUUUGGACAUUCUAUCUUGUAUCCAUCUAUCCCCCUCUAUCUUAUAUUUGGACAUUCUAUCUUGUAUCCAUCUACCCCCCUCCAUCUAAUAUUUGGACAUUCUAUCUUGUAUCCAUCUGUCCCCUCUCUAUCUAAUUUCAAAACCAGAUUUGCUUUGGCUCACCAGAAUUGCUUUGGCUCACCAGAAUUGCUUUGGCUCACCAGAAUUG